rnacentral:rRNA from 1 species
AUGGCCGCUUCCCUCCGCGCGGCGGCGACGAGGAUGCUUCGCCCGGCGGUGCAUUCAGGGGAGUUCCAGCUUUCCAAAUCCACCCUCGCCUUGGAGGGGGAACACUGUCCGUCGGCAAUCCAGCAGAGGGAGCAGCUGCAUCUCGAGCUUUUGAAAUCCACCUCUCCCUUGGUGAAGAAACACCGUGCAGAGCUAAUCGAGCAGAAGGAGGAGCUGUAUGAACUCAUCGCCCUCGCCCACGCCUAUUCCGCUGCCUCCUCGCUAGAUAGGAAUCUGCUCGAGUAUCUCUCUAUGCAAGUCAAGCCUAGACCAGAGGACCCUCAAUGGUGCAAGAUAACUAGAACCAAGAAGGUGACUGAUUUGGCUAUGUCGGUGGCUAUUCUUGCUACUUAUGGACUCAGUUAUUGUGUCUUGACUGCUGGUCCUGAAUUAGUAAAGUAUGACGGACAUGUUGUUACUGUUGAGAGUCUGCCCCUUCUACAAGGACAUUCGGCUGCUGCUACUGAUAAGGGCGUGCACAAGGAAGAUAUGCAGAAGUCAAGGGGUUGA